GAUAAUGAGUGGGGAUACAGCAACCGAGUGCUGGACCUGAUAGAGCACAUGGCAUUGGUGGCAGCACAUCACUAAGAAUUUUUAAUGAGGUUUAUGGCUGCUUACAGCAGCAAUUUUAGCACAUGCUAUGAGUUUCAUCCAAAGUGCAGUUGCAGAUUUUAUAGAAAUUCAGUUUUUGCCAGAGUGGCUUCAAAACCCCAACACACCCCACACCACCCCACCCCAACCCCACCCC
rnacentral:misc_RNA from 1 species